CAAACACCAGCCCUGACACAGGAACAAAAGGUUGCCCAUUUUGGAGUACCCUCACCCAACCAACUCACAGUGGUGGCCCCAUACUCAUGACCAUAACCCAAUGGGAAAUGGAAGGUGGUGGCCCCAGACCCAUGACCAUAACCCAAUGGGAAAUGGAAGGUGGUGGCCCCAGACCCAUGACCAUAACCCAAUGGGAAAUGGAAGGUGGUGGCCCCAGACCCAUGACCAUAACCCAAUGGGAAAUGGAAGGUGGUGGCCCCAGACCCAUGACCAUAACCCAAUGGGAAAUGGAAGGUGGUGGCCCCAGACCCAUGACCAUAACCCAAUGGGAAAUGGAAGGUGGUGGCCCCAGACCCAUGACCAUAACCCAAUGGGAAAUGGAAGGUGGUGGCCCCAGACCCAUGACCAUAACCCAACAGGAAUA